rfam:Schistosoma haematobium scaffold905_1, whole genome shotgun sequence.
GCACUGCUGAGGAGUCCCAAAAUAGGACUAGACGGCCGUUCAGUGC